GACGAACCGUGCGAACGUUGUUCGGAAUCACUGGGCGUAAAGGGUGCGUAGGCGGGUCUUUAAGUCAGGGGGGAAAUCCUGGAGCUCAACUCCAGAACUGCCUUUGAUACUGAAGAUCUUGAGUUCGGGAGAGGUGAGUGGAACUGCGAGUGUAGAGGUGAAAUUCGUAGAUAUUCGCAAGAACACCAGUGGCGAAGGCGGCUCACUGGCCCGAUACUGACGCUGAGGCACGAAAGCGUGGGGAGCAAACAGG
rnacentral:rRNA from 1 species